GGGGCUGUGGCUCAGCGGUAAGCGCUCGCCUAGCAUGUGCGAGGCCCUGGGUUCCAUCCUCAGCACCACA
rnacentral:tRNA from 1 species